rnacentral:rRNA from 1 species
AACGAACGCUGGCGGCAUGCCUAACACAUACAAGUCGAACGAGAUCUUCGGGUCUAGUGGCGCACGGGUGCGUAACGCGUGGGAAUCUGCCCUUUGGUUCGGAAUAACAGUUGGAAACGACUGCUAAUACCGGAUGAUGACGAAAGUCCAAAGAUUUAUCGCCAGAGGAUGAGCCCGCGUAGGAUUAGCUAGUUGGUGUGGUAAAGGCGCACCAAGGCGACGAUCCUUAGCUGGUCUGAGAGGAUGAUCAGCCACACUGGGAUUGAGACACGGCCCAGACUCCUACGGGAGGCAGCAGUGGGGAAUAUUGGACAAUGGGCGAAAGCCUGAUCCAGCAAUGCCGCGUGAGUGAUGAAGGCCUUAGGGUUGUAAAGCUCUUUUACCCGGGAUGAUAAUGACAGUACCGGGAGAAUAAGCUCCGGCUAACUCCGUGCCAGCAGCCGCCGUAA